rnacentral:tRNA from 1 species
UUGCCCGCUGGAUGGGCAGUUUCGAAUACGGGAUUUUCGUUUUCGUCUGGGUUUGGGUGCUGAUACUCGGCGGGCUUGC